rnacentral:rRNA from 1 species
UACGUAGGGAGCAAGCGUUGUCCGGAAUCAUUGGGCGUAAAGCGCGCGUAGGCGGCCCGGUAAGUCCGUUGUGAAAGUCAAAGGCUCAACCUUUGAAUGCCGAUGGAUACUGCCGGGCUCGAGUCCGGAAGAGGCGAGUGGAAUUCCUGGUGUAGCGGUGAAAUGCGCAGAUAUCAGGAGGAACACCGAUGGCGAAGGCAGGUCUCUGGGCCGAUACUGACGCUGAGGAGCGAAAGCGUGGGGAGCGAACAGG